GGCUCCAAUAGUGUAUAUUAAAGUUUCUGUAGUUAAAAGCUCGUAGUUUGAUGUCUGGUGGGAGCAAUCAGUAUGGUAAUUUGUGUCGUGGCUUGCAUUGUCUCUGACCAUACUUGGAAAGAAUCAGUCUGGCAUUAGGUUGUCAGGCUGAAGAUUUCCAUCUUUUACUGUGAAAACAUUAGAAUGUUCAAAGCAGGAUUAAGCCGUUGAAUAUAUUAGCAUGGAAUAAUGAUAUAGGACUUUGAUACUAUUUUGUUGGUUUACGUGCCAUAGUAAUGAAUAAUAGGGACAAUUGGGGAUAUUUGUAUUCCAAUGCUAGAGGUGAAAUUCUUUGAUUUUUGGAAGACAAACUACUGUGAAAACAUUUACAAAGGAUGUUUUCA
rnacentral:rRNA from 1 species